rnacentral:lncRNA from 1 species
AAGCAACAAUUUUCUCAUCCUGCUCAGGUGUAGUACCCAUAGGAGUAGCUUGACUAGUUACAUUUGCUGAGUCACAGCUGUUCUCAGUAUCAGAAACCUGAGGGGCAGUAUCAGAAGCCUGAGGUGUAGCACCCAUAGGAGUAGCUUGACUAAUUACAGUUGUUGGGUCACAGCUGUUCUCAGUAUCAGGAACCUGAGGGGCACUAUCAGAAGCCUGAGUGUCAUGAAUUUGCAUAGUAGAAUGUUCUCUGCACGUUUCUUUACUAGCUUCAGCAAGAUCAGGAGCAGGAGCAGAAGCUUCGCCAUCGAGAACAGAAGGUUCAUGAGAAGGGCAGGCAACAGUAGAUUCUGAAGACUGAACAGGU